rnacentral:rRNA from 1 species
UACGUAGGGCGCAAGCGUUAUCCGGAAUUAUUGGGCGUAAAGAGCUCGUAGGCGGUUUGUCGCGUCUGCCGUGAAAGUCCGGGGCUCAACUCCGGAUCUGCGGUGGGUACGGGCAGACUAGAGUGAUGUAGGGGAGACUGGAAUUCCUGGUGUAGCGGUGAAAUGCGCAGAUAUCAGGAGGAACACCGCUGGCGAAGGCAGGUCUCUGGGCAUUAACUGACGCUGAGGAGCGAAAGCAUGGGGAGCGAACAGG